rnacentral:misc_RNA from 1 species
GCAACAAGUAAUAACAGAUUAAUCCUUAUGAAUUAUUCUAUCAAGAACAAGAUCGAAGUACUGAGGUGUCAUGAGUAGAGUAGUAAAUACAAAUAAACUAACUAGUAUUACAAAAAUUUUAUGAGGAGAAAUAACAUAUUCCAGCAUGCCAAUCCUACAAAAGGUAUCUGGUAAAAUGACAAUUUUCUGCCUCCUAUGAUACCCUAAAUGUACACUUGAUAAAUCAGGAAUGAAAUGAUGCCCAUCAAGUAGCAUCAGAGAGUUGCACCUCUGCAAUUAUAAGCAUGGGAAGCCAUUGUUAUCGACAUUCGGUCAGAGGAAAAUCCCUCCUAAGCAGCAACUGCAAUCUUUUCUUGUUGCUUAACACCUGACAUUUUAGGCUUUGGAUCAACUUUCAUUUCAGGUUUCUCAAUUCCUUGAAUAUCAGUUAUUCUCAACUUAGUCAGUUCCUGGCGAUGUCCUUUGGUUCGGCGGUAAUUCUUCCUUCUCUUCUUCUUGAA